UACAGAGGUCUCAAGCGUUGUUCGGAUUCAUUGGGCGUAAAGGGCGCGUAGGCGGCCUUGAAAGUCGGGGGUGAAAUCCCACGGCCUAACCGUGGAAGUGCCUCCGAGUACUGCAAGGCUCGAGGGAGGUAGGGCAGCGGGAACUUCCGGUGGAGCGGUGGAAAUGCGUUGAUAUCGGAAGGAACGCCGGUGGCGAAAGCGCGCUGCUGGACCUC
rnacentral:rRNA from 1 species